rnacentral:rRNA from 1 species
GAUGAACGCUGGCGGCAUGCCUAAUACAUGCAAGUCGAGCGAACGGACCAGGAGCUUUCUCCUCUGAGUUUGUCGGCGGACGGAACAGUAACACGUGGAUAACCUACCUAUAAGACUGGGGUAACUUCGGGAGACCGUAUCUAAUACCGAAUGAUAUUUUGAACUUGAUGGGUCAAGCGUUAGAUACGGUCUUUCUUUCACUAAUAGAUGAAUCCGCGCUGCAUUAGCUAGUUGGUAGGGUCACUGCUUACCAAGGCAACGAUGGAUAGCCGACCUGAAAGGGUGAUCCGACACCCUGGAAGUGAGAAACGGCCGAGACUCCUACGCGAGGACGCAGUAGGGAAUCUUACGCGAUGGACGAGAGGGUGAUGGAGGAACGCCGCGGGAGUGCUGAAGGUCUUCGGCUGGUAAAACUCUGUUAGUAUGGAAGUAGAAAAGUGCAAGUACCUGUGCACAUAAUGACGGUACCUAAAGAGUAAGCCCCGGCUAACUCCGUG